ensembl:snoRNA
UAGACUAUACUUUCAGGGAUCAUUUCUAUAGUUCUUUACUUGAGAAAUGUAUUUCUAAAGUGGUAGGUCUCGCUAUCCACGAUGACGAGUCAAGAUAUUCCCGUUCAGAGCAUGAAUCUGGCGGCUAGAAGUGACUUUGCUCAAUUUUCUUCCGCCUUUGAUGACUGUUCCUUGUUCUUCAAUGACCAUGGAAGAAGGGAAUAUGUUCUGAGUGGAU